rnacentral:lncRNA from 1 species
AUUCUCACAAGUGCCUAACGAGGAAUCAGGCAAGUGAGCGUAUUAACUUAAAACCCAUAUAGCUGUAGGCCACCCUUCUGUCCUCUCCUGAAUAACUGACCUUGCAUCUCACCUGGCAGCGACGCUUUGCUGUCAUUUCUGUCCUACUGCAACGCCCCUGGCUCUGUGUGUGGUGUCAGGCCAGCGUGGACACUCAUUUUCCUUAUUGGUCCUGACCAGCAACACCUGGAGCCUCCAGCACCCACCUUACCUGCCGUGGGCCCAGGAGCUGCAUUUAAACUCAGCCCAAGGAUCUUGUUCCCUUUCCUAAGGAGGAUGGAAGUGGGGCUGGUCUCCAGUUCUGCUGCAGCCCUGUCCUGCCUGGUGGCUGUGGGCUUGGCUGGCUAGCUGAGCUCCUGGCUGCUGCCAUCUCAGCAUCUUCAGCUUAGUGCUUCACAGGCUGAACAGAAACAUCUAAGCAGAGGUGAAACCAGGCAGAAGUGGAGUUAAAGCAGCAUUGAAAAAAUCGCAGUUUGAUCAAAAAAAAAAAAAAAAAAAAAAAAAAAGGAGAUAUUUAUGAAUAGACUGGAUGUGCUCUAGUGGAGGAAGCAAGAAUUACAGGGAGGCAAUAAAUAUUUACCAGUAUCUUAAGUAAUACAGUUAAAUAACACUGAGAAAACAUCCUAAGAUACUGUUGUAAUUUAAAGCCAAUGCAAAGAAACUUGGUACACUUUGUGUAUUAAAAAAACCACAACCCUUAAUUGAGUAAGUGGCAGAGUAAUUCCAGGUACUCAGAGCACCUGCGUUGCCUACAUAGAUGCCUGGCACUUGUGAAACAGCUCUGAGGCUUAUGGCAUGCUGGACUCACCAAGGAGGCUGGGUUGGUACUGUCUGCAGUGACUCUUACACCAGGGAAUGAAGCUCCCUCCAUAAGGCACGUUUCAGCUUUCAAAAAUGUCAUGCAAGAGUUGUUCAGAUUUCCCAGGUGUCUCUGCUGGAAUACUUACAAGGCAGGAUUGUGCUUGCUUUGUUCAUCUUCCUUUCCAAGAACAGAAAACCACAAAGAUUUCAGUGCUUCUGCUCGAUUGCUACAGGAGUGGUAAAUAGAAGUGUGCAAGGAGUUGUGUACAAGGCUGAAAAGGAUCACAAAUCCACAAAGCAGCUUAUUAACCAGGUGACACCGUGUCUUAGCUCCAGACAUCCAGAAGUGGUUUCCAAGCAAAGCAUUUCUGUCGCAGUAGAGGAUGUUCCCACUGCACCUGUCCUGUAA